GAUGAAGAACGUAGUGAAAUGCGAUACUUGGUGUGAAUUGCAGAAUCCCGUGAACCAUCGAGUCUUUGAACGCAAGUUGCGCCCGAAGCCACUAGGCCGAGGGCACGCCUGCCUGGGCGUCACACGCCGUUGCCCCCCCAUCUACUCCUUCGGGAUUGCGGGGGGGCGGAUGAUGGCCUCCCGUGCGCCUAGCCGCGCGGUUGGCAUAAAUACCAAGUCCUCGGCGACGCACGCCACGACAAUCGGUGGUUGCGAAACCUCGGUUGCCCGUCGUGUGCGUUCGUCGCGCAUCGAGGGCUCGAAAAAAUGCUCGGCUCCGGCUGGGCUUUCAACGCGACCCCAGGUCAGGCGGGGUUACCAGCUGAAUUUAAGCAUAUCAAUAAGCGGAGGA
rnacentral:misc_RNA from 1 species